GAAGACGGCGACAUUACACGUAUCGUACGUGUUCUUUGUUGGGUUGGAGAACUGAAUCAUCUGUGUUGAACAGGAACCCUUGCUCCCGGGUUCGCAAGCCAUCAAAGCAUCGCCUUAUUUCUUCUCGAGGCGGUUUGAGGAGAUGCUCGUGAACUCUAAUAAUCCAAUGGAAGACUUGUAAACGGAGCUAAUCGCAUGAAGCUAUUACAUCCUGAAAAACCACCUCGUUAUUAUUUACGUUAAAAAUCCGAUUUACCUACAAAUGUCUAAUAAUUUGGAAAAGAAAACAAUAUAACCGAUUAUAAGCCUGAAAAAAAACAAUAAAAAAAUAUAAGCCUGAAAAAAAACCGUCGGCGACGAAUAAAUUGGAGGUUGCAAAUCCUUCUCACAAUAUGAACAAU
rnacentral:lncRNA from 1 species